UCUUCGACGAUAAGGCUUUAGGUUCUUAUCAUUUGGUAUCAGAGCGGCGAUCCUUAGCGUUCUCGCUGCCGUAGCUAUNNNNNNNNNNNNNNNNNNNNCCGAUCCCCUCGAAGUGAUCAUUAUCAUCCCCAUUUCUCCCCUUUCUUCGACGAUAAGGCUUUAGGUUCUUAUCAUUUGGUAUCAGAGCGGCGAUCCUUAGCGUUCUCGCUGCCGUAGCUAUAAAAAAAAAAAAAGGAAAGAAAGAAAGACAGAAGAAGCAGCAGCAACCGCAGCCACGCACCCCUGCUUCCUGCUCGGCGACCACCGUCGCCGCUGCUUCCCGGCCAGCGCCCACCGCUGCCGCUGUGCCACGGCCAGCAACCUUCUCACCUCGCCUCCUCGCUGCCCGCAUCUCGCUCAAGCGAGAAGGGCCACGGUCGCCGUUUCCCAG
rnacentral:lncRNA from 1 species